UACGUAGGGGGCUAGCGUUGUCCGGAAUCAUUGGGCGUAAAGCGCGUGUAGGCGGCCCGGUAAGUCCGCUGUGAAAGUCGGGGGCUCAACCCUCGGAUGCCGGUGGAUACUGUCGGGCUCGAGUACGGAAGAGGCGAGUGGAAUUCCUGGUGUAGCGGUGAAAUGCGCAGAUAUCAGGAGGAACACCAAUUGCGAAGGCAGCUCGCUGGGACGUCACUGACGCUGAGACGCGAAAGCGUGGGGAGCGAACAGG
rnacentral:rRNA from 1 species